GGUCAGAUGAUGCUAAGACAACAUAUUCCUGAGAUUUUCUUUGAGGAAUACAAAAUCGAGCUUUUUAAGACUGAUGGCUA
rfam:Hordeum vulgare subsp. vulgare, WGS project CAJW01000000 data, contig: morex_contig_38672